rnacentral:rRNA from 1 species
GACGAACGCUGGCGGCGUGCCUAAUACAUGCAAGUAGAACGCUGAAGGAGGAGCUUGCUUCUCUGGAUGAGUUGCGAACGGGUGAGUAACGCGUAGGUAACCUGCCUGGUAGCGGGGGAUAACUAUUGGAAACGAUAGCUAAUACCGCAUAACAGUAGAUAUCGCAUGAUAUCUACUUGAAAGGUGCAAUUGCAUCACUACCAGAUGGACCUGCGUUGUAUUAGCUAGUUGGUGAGGUAACGGCUCACCAAGGCGACGAUACAUAGCCGACCUGAGAGGGUGAUGGGCCAACCGGGGCCUGAGACACGGCCCAGCCUCCUACGGGAGGGAGCAGUAGGGAGUCUUCGGCAAGGGACGGAAGCCUGACCGAACAACGCCGCGGGAGUGAAGAAGGUUUUCGGAUCGUAAAGCUGUGUGUUAAGGGAAAAACGAGUGGGGGAGUGGAAAGUUCACCCUGUGGCGGUAUCUAACCAGAAAGGGGCGGCUAACUCCGU